GAUGAACGCUGGCGGCGUGCCUAAUACAUGCAAGUCGAGCGAGCGGACGAGAAGCUUGCUUCUCUGAUGUUAGCGGCGGACGGGUGAGUAACACGUGGAUAACCUACCUAUAAGACUGGGAUAACUUCGGGAAACCGGAGCUAAUACCGGAUAAUAUUUUGAACCGCAUGGUUCAAAAGUGAAAGACGGUCUUGCUGUCACUUAUAGAUGGAUCCGCGCUGCAUUAGCUAGUUGGUAAGGUAACGGCUUACCAAGGCAACGAUGCAUAGCCGACCUGAGAGGGUGAUCGGCCACACUGGGACUGAGACACGGUCCAGACUCCUACGGGAGGCAGCAGUAGGGAAUCUUCCGCAAAGGGCGAAAGCCUGACGGAGCAACGCCGCGUGAGUGAUGAAGGUCUUCGGAUCGUAAAACUCUGUUAUUAGGGAAGAACAUAUGUGUAAGUAACUGUGCACAUCUUGACGGUACCUAAUCAGAAAGCCACGGCUAACUACGUG
rnacentral:rRNA from 1 species